rnacentral:rRNA from 1 species
CCUACGGGUGGCAGCAGUGAGGAAUAUUGGUCAAUGGGCGCGAGCCUGAACCAGCCAAGUCGCGUGAGGGAAGACGGUCCUACGGGUUGUAAACCUCUUUUGCCGGGGAGCAACGGGCGCCACGUGUGGCGCCACUGAGAGUACCCGGAGAAAAAGCAUCGGCUAAUCCGUGCCAGCCACCGCGGUUAUACCGGAGAUUCGAGCGUUAUGCGGAUUUAUUGGGUUUAAAGGGUGCGUAGGCCGAGCGUUAAGGCAGUUGGCAAAUUUGGGGGCUCAACCCCUUCCCGCCAUUGAAACUGGCGCUCUUGAGUGAAGAGAAGUAUGCGGAAUGCGUGGUGUAGCGGUGAAAUGCAUAGAUAUCACGCAGAACCCCGAUUGCGAAGGCAGCAUGCCGGCUUCCUACUGACGCUGAAGCACGAAAGCGUGGGGAUCGAACAGGAUUAGAUACCCUUGUAGUC